rnacentral:rRNA from 1 species
CCGGGCGACCGGCGCACGGGUGAGUAACACGUAUGCAACCUGCCCGUCUCAGGGGGAUAAUCGUCGGAAACGGCGUCUAAUACCCCGUAUGAAGCUGGAUGGCAUCGUCUGGUUUUGAAAGAAUAUCGGAGACGGAUGGGCAUGCGGCGCAUUAGCUAGUUGGCGGGGUAACGGCCCACCAAGGCGACGAUGCGUAGGGGUUCUGAGAGGAAGGUCCCCCACACUGGUACUGAGACACGGACCAGACUCCUACGGGAGGCAGCAG